rnacentral:rRNA from 1 species
AGAAUUUGAUCCUGGUUCAGAUUGAAUGCUGGCGGCGUGGAUGAGGCAUGCAAGUCGCACGAAGAGUGUUUACACUUUUAGUGGCGGAAGGGUUAGUAAGGCAUGGGUAACUCACCUUAAACACUGGGCUAACGGUUGGAAACGACCGCUAAUACCGGAUGUGGUGGAGUAAGGCAUCUUAUUUUAUUAAAGCGGGGGAUCUUCGGACCUCGCGGUUUAAGAGGGGCCCAUGUGAUAUCGGCUUGUUGGUGUGGUAACGGCGCACCAAGGCUAAGACGUCUAGGCGGGUUGAGAGAUUGACCGCCAACACUGGGACUGAGACACUGCCCAGACUCCUACGGGAGGCUGCAGUCGAGAAUCAUUCGCAAUGGGCGAAAGCCUGACGAUGCGACGCCGCGUGAGCGAAGAAGGCCUUAGGGUUGUAAAGCUCUUUCGCUUGGGAACAAGAGAUGUUGGCUAAUAUCCAGCAAAUUUGAGCGUACCAGGUAAAGAAGCACCGGCUAACUCCGUGCCAGCAGCUGCGGUAAUACGGAGGGUGCAAGCAUUAAUCGGAUUUAUUGGGCGUAAAGAGCGUGUAGGCGGCGAAGAAAGUCAGAUGUGAAAUCCCGGAGCUUACCUCCGGAACUGCAUUUGAAACUUCUUCACUAGAGGGUAGGCGGAGAAAACGGAAUUCCACAAGUAGCGGUGAAAUGCGUAGAUAUGUGGAAGAACACCGGUGGCGAAGGCGGUUUUCUAGCUUAUUCCUGACGCUGAGACGCGAAAGCAAGGGGAGCAAACAGGAUUAGAUACCCUGGUAGUCCUUGCCGUAAACGAUGUAUACUUGGUGUAGUUGGACUCAACCCCGACUGUGCCGUAGCUAACGUGUUAAGUAUACCGCCUGGGGAGUACGCUCGCAAGGGUGAAACUCAAAAGAAUUGACGGGGACCCGCACAAGCAGUGGAGCAUGUGGUUUAAUUCGAUGCAACGCGAAGAACCUUACCCAGACUUGACAUACAGUGGACAGUCCAAGAGAUUGGAUCUUCCUUCGGGACCGCUGAACAGGUGCUGCAUGGCUGUCGUCAGCUCGUGCCGUGAGGUGUUUGGUUAAGUCCAGCAACGAGCGCAACCCUUAUCGUUAGUUGCCAGCGCGUAAUGGCGGGAACUCUAGCGAGACUGCCCGGGUUAACCGGGAGGAAGGUGAGGAUGAGGUCAAGUCAUCAUGGCCCUUAUGUCUGGGGCUACACACGUGCUACAAUGGUCGGUACAGAAGGCAGCUAAGCCGCGAGGUGGAGCAAAUCCCAAAAGCCGAUCCCAGUUCAGAUUGUAGUCUGCAACUCGACUACAUGAAGUUGGAAUUGCUAGUAAUGGCGUGUCAGCAAUAACGCCGUGAAUACGUUCCCGGGUCUUGUACACACCGCCCGUCACAUCACGGGAGUUGGUUUUACCCGAAGUCGCUGACUUAACCGCAAGGAGAGAAGCGCCGAAGGUAAGGCUGAUGACUAGGAUGAAGUCGUAACAAGGUA